rnacentral:lncRNA from 1 species
GAAGUCAACAGCCACCACCAAUCAUCGUUGCAGGAACCGCCUCAGGUGUUCAUCAGUUUCCGGGGAGAGGAGCUGCGUUGCGGUUUUGUCAGCCAUCUCGUGGAAGCUUUUCAAAGACAUCAUAUCAACGUUUUCAUAGACACGCUCGAGAGGAAAGGUGAAGAUCUAACCAAUCUCUUUGUGAGGAUCGAGGAGUCUACCAUCGCUUUGGUCAUAUUCUCCAAGAGGUACACGGAAUCGAAUUGGUGCUUAGACGAGCUAGUGAAGAUCAAGGAACGUGCAGAUCAAGGUUUGCUCAAGGUCAUUCCCAUCUUCUUUAAUGUGGAGCCAGUCACUGUGAAACAACUCCGGGGAACAUUCGGCGAUCAAUUCAGAUAUCGUGAGUGGAAAUAUCGGAGUGAUAAACUCAGAAUCAAGAGAUGGAAAGAGGCAUUAGCCUCGGUUUCUAGCAAAAUUGGCCUCAUCUUUGACAAGAAAAGGUAAUAGUCUUUUAAAACCCCUUCCCCACGCAACAAAAAUCUAUUAGUGUCUAACAAAUAUUUACUUUGGUUUUUUUUUUUGUAGUGAUGAAAGUAAAUUUGUUAGAAAAAUCGUUAAGGAGGUCGAGAAACUGCUUCAACUACAAGUUAAUCAUGCGGCCACUCAAGAACCGGUGCAGCUAUCAAGAGAGAGGUUUCUAGUGCAAGAAAACUCCAACAUUUCGAACCAGACUGUUGUGGUUUCCAAGGAUUUCGAAUAUCAACAAAGCAUUCUUAGGGCUCAGCUCGUUGAACUAAACCAGAGGCUGCAGUCACUGAACUCUACGAUCGAAAUGGUGGACAGAGUCGUCCGAGACAUUUCUGAAUUUCUGAUCAACCCUUGGCAAUGUCUUACUUCACAGCCAAGCAUGGCCUCUACUUUUGAUGCUGUACUACCAUAUAUGGCUUUGUAGUUAUAAAUCUUUGUAAAACAUCAUCUACUCUAGCAAACCCUAGUCCUUUGUUCAAGCUCACAGUCUGUAAAUAAUAUUCCCCUUAAUUAGUUGUGUACAUAAUAUUGUUUUAAACAUUUUGUUACUUGACUUUUUUGACUAUGAGCAAGCAGCUACCGUUUUCGUCAAUUUUCCUCAAAGAGAACAUACCUGACACAGGAGUUGAUGAACCUCCACAAUAAUCUAUCAAGAGAUUGAGAACUUUAUGAUCUAAAUGCUUCAGGGCUCGAAAGCUCUAAGCAAGCUAGUAUAGCCUCGGUGAUCAAUCAACUGAAGAUUAAUCCUUCGUCCG